rnacentral:rRNA from 1 species
AGUGAACGCUGGCGGUAGGCCUAACACAUGCAAGUCGAACGGCAGCACAGUAAGAGCUUGCUCUUACGGGUGGCGAGUGGCGGACGGGUGAGGAAUACAUCGGAAUCUACUUUUUCGUGGGGGAUAACGUAGGGAAACUUACGCUAAUACCGCAUACGACCUACGGGUGAAAGCAGGGGAUCUUCGGACCUUGCGCGAUUGAAUGAGCCGAUGUCGGAUUAGCUAGUUGGCGGGGUAAAGGCCCACCAAGGCGACGAUCCGUAGCUGGUCUGAGAGGAUGAUCAGCCACACUGGAACUGAGACACGGUCCAGACUCCUACGGGAUGCAGCAGUGGGGAAUAUUGGACAAUGGGCGCAAGCCUGAUCCAGCCAUACCGCGUGGGUGAAGAAGGCCUUCGGGUUGUAAAGCCCUUUUGUGGGGAAAGAAAAGCAGCAGGUUAAUACCCCGCUGUUCUGACGGUACCCAAAGAAUAAGCACCGGCUAACUUCGUG